rnacentral:rRNA from 1 species
AGGGCGGCGUGCUAUACAUGCAGUCGAGCGAACGGACGAGAAGCUUGCUUCUCUGAUGUUAGCGGCGGACGGGUGAGUAACACGUGGAUAACCUACCUAUAAGACUGGGAUAACUUCGGGAAACCGGAGCUAAUACCGGAUAAUAUUUUGAACCGCAUGGUUCAAAAGUGAAAGACGGUCUUGCUGUCACUUAUAGAUGGAUCCGCGCUGCAUUAGCUAGUUGGUAAGGUAACGGCUUACCAAGGCAACGAUGCAUAGCCGACCUGAGAGGGUGAUCGGCCACACUGGAACUGAGACACGGUCCAGACUCCUACGGGAGGCAGCAGUAGGGAAUCUUCCGCAAUGGGCGAAAGCCUGACGGAGCAACGCCGCGUGAGUGAUGAAGGUCUUCGGAUCGUAAAACUCUGUUAUUAGGGAAGAACAUAUGUGUAAGUAACUGUGCACAUCUUGACGGUACCUAAUCAGAAAGCCACGGCUAACUACGUGCCAGCAGCCGCGGUAAUACGUAGGUGGCAAGCGUUAUCCGGAAUUAUUGGGCGUAAAGCGCGCGUAGGCGGUUUUUUAAGUCUGAUGUGAAAGCCCACGGCUCAACCGUGGAGGGUCAUUGGAAACUGGAAAACUUGAGUGCAGAAGAGGAAAGUGGAAUUCCAUGUGUAGCGGUGAAAUGCGCAGAGAUAUGGAGGAACACCAGUGGCGAAGGCGACUUUCUGGUCUGUAACUGACGCUGAUGUGCGAAAGCGUGGGGAUCAAACAGGAUUAGAUACCCUGGUAGUCCACGCCGUAAACGAUGAGUGCUAAGUGUUAGGGGGUUUCCGCCCCUUAGUGCUGCAGCUAACGCAUUAAGCACUCCGCCUGGGGAGUACGACCGCAAGGUUGAAACUCAAAGGAAUUGACGGGGACCCGCACAAGCGGUGGAGCAUGUGGGUUUAAUUCGAAGCAACGCGAAGAAACCUUACCAAAUCUUGACAUCCUUUGACAACUCUAGAGAUAAGAGCCUUCCCCUUCGGGGGACAAAAGUGACAGGGGGGUGCAUGGGUUGUCCCCAGCUCCUGUCCGGGAGAAUGUUGGGGUUAAGUCCCCGCAACGAAGCGCAACCCCUUAAGCUUAGUUGGCCAUCAUU